CCUACGGGUGGCAGCAGUGAGGAAUAUUGGUCAAUGGGCGCAAGCCUGAACCAGCCAAGUCGCGUGAGGGAAGACUGCCCUAUGGGUUGUAAACCUCUUUUGUCAGGGAGCAACGCCGGCUACGUGUAGCUGGACUGAGAGUCCCUGAAGAAAAAGCAUGGGCUAACUCCGUGCCGGCACCCGGGGUAAUACGGAGGAUGAGAGCGUUAUCCGGUUUGAUUGGGUUAAAAGGGUGCGAAGGCGGAAGGCAAAGUCGGCGGUAAAGUCGUGGGGCCAAACGUCGCACCGCCGUUGAAACUGGCGGUCUUGAGUGGGGGAGAGGUAGGCGGAAUGCGUUGUGUAGCGGUGAAAUGCAUAGAUAUCACGCAGAACUCCGAUUGCGAAGGCAGCAUACUGG
rnacentral:rRNA from 1 species